UACGGAGGGUGCAAGCGUUAUCCGGAUUCACUGGGUUUAAAGGGUGCGUAGGUGGGCAGGUAAGUCAGUGGUGAAAUCUCCGGGCUUAACCCGGAAACUGCCAUUGAUACUAUCUGUCUUGAAUACCGUGGAGGUGAGCGGAAUAUGUCAUGUAGCGGUGAAAUGCUUAGAUAUGACAUAGAACACCAAUUGCGAAGGCAGCUCGCUACACGAAUAUUGACUCUGAGGCACGAAAGCGUGGGGAUCAAACAGG
rnacentral:rRNA from 1 species